CCGAGUCUACAACUCCUCAACCCCUGUGGAACAUACCUAUAACGUUGCCUCGGCGGAAUCAGCCCGGCCCCGUAAAAAGGGACGGCCCGCCGCAGAGGACCCCUAACUCUGUUUCUAUAAUGUGUACUUCUGAGUAAAACAAGCAAAUAAAUCA
rnacentral:misc_RNA from 1 species